GAUGAACGCUGGCGGCGUGCCUAAUACAUGCAAGUCGAGCGAACAGACGAGGAGCUUGCUCCUCGGAUGUUAGCGGCGGACGGGUGAGUAACACGUGGAUAACCUACCUAUAAGACUGGGAUAACUUCGGGAAACCGGAGCUAAUACCGGAUAACAUGUUGAACCGCAUGGUUCAAUAGUGAAAGACGGUCUUGCUGUCACUUAUAGAUGGAUCCGCGCCGCAUUAGCUAGUUGGUAAGGUAACGGCUUACCAAGGCAACGAUGCGUAGCCGACCUGAGAGGGUGAUCGGCCACACGGGAACUGGGCCACGGUCCAGACUCCUACGGGAGGCAGCAGAAGGGAAUCUUCCGCAAUGGGCGAGAGCCUGGCGGAGCGGCGCCGCGUGAGUGGAGAAGGUCUUCGGAUCGUAAAGCUCUGUUAUUAGGGAAGAACAAAUGUGUAAGUAACUAUGCACGUCUUGACGGUACCUAAUCAGAAAGCCACGGCUAACUACGUG
rnacentral:rRNA from 1 species